rnacentral:rRNA from 1 species
UACGAAGGGGGCGAGCGUUGUUCGGAGUUACUGGGCGUAAAGGGCGCGUAGGCGGCGAUCCAAGUUAGGCGUGAAAGCCCCGGGCUUAACCUGGGAAUUGCGCUUAAGACUGGACUGCUUGAGUGCGGGAGAGGUGAGUGGAAUUCCCAGUGUAGAGGUGAAAUUCGUAGAUAUUGGGAAGAACACCAGUGGCGAAGGCGGCUCACUGGCCCGCAACUGACGCUGAGGCGCGAAAGCGUGGGGAGCGAACAGG